CUGCUCGCUUUAGCAGCACCUGUACAAAAUUGGAACGAAGCAGAGAAGAUGAGCCCUGUGCCAGGAUGACAUGCAAAUUUGGGAAGCGUUCUACAUUUUU
ensembl:snRNA U6 U6 spliceosomal RNA